UACAGAGGUCUCGAGCGUUGUUCGGAUUCAUUGGGCGUAAAGGGUGCGUAGGUGGCGCUGUAAGUCAGGUGUGAAAUUUCGGAGCUUAACUCCGAAACUGCAUUUGAUACUGCGGUGCUUGAGGACUGGAGAGGAGGCUGGAAUUUACGGUGUAGCAGUGAAAUGCGUAGAGAUCGUAAGGAAGACCAGUGGCGAAGGCGGGUCUCUGGACAGUUCCUGACACUGAGGCACGAAGGCCAGGGGAGCAAACGGG
rnacentral:rRNA from 1 species